UUCCGAAUGGGGAAACCCAGUGUGUUUCGACACACUAUCAUUAACUGAAUCCAUAGGUUAAUGAGGCGAACCGGGGGAACUGAAACAUCUAAGUACCCCGAGGAAAAGAAAUCAACCGAGAUUCCCCCAGUAGCGGCGAGCGAACGGGGAGGAGCCCAGAGCCUGAAUCAGUGUGUGUGUUAGUGGAAGCGUCUGGAAAGGCGCGCGAUACAGGGUGACAGCCCCGUACACAAAAAUGCACAUAUUGUGAGCUCGAUGAGUAGGGCGGGACACGUGGUAUCCUGUCUGAAUAUGGGGGGACCAUCCUCCAAGGCUAAAUACUCCUGACUGACCGAUAGUGAACCAGUACCGUGAGGGAAAGGCGAAAAGAACCCCGGCGAGGGGAGUGAAAAAGAACCUGAAACCGUGUACGUACAAGCAGUGGGAGCCUCUUAAUGGGGUGACUGCGUACCUUUUGUAUAAUGGGUCAGCGACUUAUAUUCUGUAGCAAGGUUAACCGAAUAGGGGAGCCGAAGGGAAACCGAGUCUUAACUGGGCGUUAAGUUGCAGGGUAUAGACCCGAAACCCGGUGAUCUAGCCAUGGGCAGGUUGAAGGUUGGGUAACACUAACUGGAGGACCGAACCGACUAAUGUUGAAAAAUUAGCGGAUGACUUGUGGCUGGGGGUGAAAGGCCAAUCAAACCGGGAGAUAGCUGGUUCUCCCCGAAAGCUAUUUAGGUAGCGCCUCGUGAAUUCAUCUCCGGGGGUAGAGCACUGUUUCGGCAAGGGGGUCAUCCCGACUUACCAACCCGAUGCAAACUGCGAAUACCGGAGAAUGUUAUCACGGGAGACACACGGCGGGUGCUAACGUCCGUCGUGAAGAGGGAAACAACCCAGACCGCCAGCUAAGGUCCCAAAGUCAUGGUUAAGUGGGAAACGAUGUGGGAAGGCCCAGACAGCCAGGAUGUUGGCUUAGAAGCAGCCAUCAUUUAAAGAAAGCGUAAUAGCUCACUGGUCGAGUCGGCCUGCGCGGAAGAUGUAACGGGGCUAAACCAUGCACCGAAGCUGCGGCAGCGACACUAUGUGUUGUUGGGUAGGGGAGCG
rnacentral:rRNA from 1 species